CCUAAUGUACAAUGGAAAUCCCCGAUAUCUCCCAAGUAUGACUAACACAGCACCUUGCCUUUAUUUUCAAAAAAAUCGACUUGAGUGAUGAGCACGUUUUGAUUUCUCUGACUCGUCUGCAGGAUACAAGAGGAUAAAAAAUAAUUUAUAUGAACAGGAACAAAGAAGACAUAUUUCGAGACCGAGGCGAUCUCUAGGAAUACCAGAUUCUGUGAAACGGCACUUGCCAUUUUUCUGAAAUACUAUUAGCACCAUUAGCAAGAUAAUGAAGAGGGUGGAAGAUGGGACCUCUAAUGCUAUUAAUGCUAUGCUGGCUGUCUAUGGAGCCGACGGAUGCAAUACGAUUUCCUCACAUCAGAACAGGGACAAAACAAGUGUACCACGUCAACAUCAAAAUUGAAAGUGUACCCUUAGCUAUGCCACUCAUGAACGAAUAGCUUUUGGUGCCUACUUGAUGAAAUAGUUAACGAUAUUACACUAAAAGAAACAAUAAUCAUCAAGUUUUUUUCUAUGUCUUCAUGAAAAACAUGUUUGAUUUUUGUAUUCGACAAAUAAACAAGUCAU